rnacentral:rRNA from 1 species
CCUACGGGUGGCAGCAGUAGGGAAUUUUCGUCAAUGGGCGCAAGCCUGAACGAGCUAUGCCGCGUGAGUGAAGAAGGCCUUCGGGUCGUAAAGCUCUGUUGCGGGGGAAAAAAGGCAGCAUCAGGAAAUGGGUGCUGACUGAUGGUGCCCCGCCAGAAAGUCACGGCUAACUACGUGCCAGCAGCCGCGGUAAUACGUAGGUGGCGAGCGUUAUCCGGAAUGAUUGGGCGUAAAGGGUGCGCAGGCGGUCCGUUAAGUCAGCGGUAAAAUUGCGGGGCUCAACCCCGUCGAGCCGUUGAAACUGGCAGACUUGAGUUGGCGAGAAGUACGCGGAAUGCGCGGUGUAGCGGUGAAAUGCAUAGAUAUCGCGCAGAACUCCGAUUGCGAAGGCAGCGUACCGGCGCCAGACUGACGCUGAGGCACGAAAGCGUGGGGAUCGAACAGGAUUAGAUACCCUAGUAGUC